AGGCCAGCAUCAGUUUGCUUCGGGGGAUAAAGGCUUUGGGAAUGUGGCUCCCUCGGGAGUGUUAUAGCCCAUUGUGUAAUACCCUGGAGCGGACUGAGGUACGCGUUCUGCAAGGAUGCUGGCGUAAUGGUCAUCA
rnacentral:rRNA from 1 species